AUUGAACGCUGGCGGCAGGCCUAACACAUGCAAGUCGAACGAGUGGCGGACGGGUGAGUAAUGUCUGGGAAACUGCCUGAUGGAGGGGGAUAACUACUGGAAACGGUAGCUAAUACCGCAUACCAUCGGAUGUGCCCAGAUGGGAUUAGCUAGUAGGUGGGGGAAAGGGUCACCUAGGCGACGAUCCCUAGCGGGUCUGAGAGUAUGAAAAGCCACACUGGAACGGAGACACGGUCCAGACGCCUACGGGAGGCAGCAGUGGGGAAUAUUUCACAAUGGGCUCAAGCCUGAUGCAGCCAUGCCGCGUGUAUGAAGAAGGCCUGCGGGUUGGAAAGUACUUUCAGCGGGGAGGCUUUACCAGAAGAAGAAGCACCGGCUAACUCCGUGCCAGCCGCCGCGGUAAUAC
rnacentral:rRNA from 1 species